AUCAACAAUAAGUUUGUUGCAAAGAAGAUUCAUAGUGGGUGGUUAAAGUGAUCAACAACUGCCGUUUUUGUUUUUUUGGAAUGCUGAGGAACAGCUGUAACAGGUUAAACCCCAAGGUGAAAUUUACAUUGAUCGGAAGAUCCAUUGGACAGAAUGUGCAUCAUCGCCUGCCAAAAAAGGGAGCAAAAAGGGGACUACCUGAUGUAUGGACAUGUAUACCAGGUUUUACCCUGCACGAGCAGGCCAACUUGAGGGGAACAGGAGUGGGAAACCGUGCCCUGUAGCUUGUCCUUGACCAAGAAAAGAUGGAUUUGUUGAGAGGACCUGAUCUCAAAUGAGAUCAUGCACGAGAAGCGCCUCACAGACCAUGACAGUAGUAUUCAGACCUGAUCAGCUGGUGAAGUGCUCUAUUAAGGGUUGUUUAUGAAUGCAUUCUUUGUAAGGAACAGUGUAUAACAACAAAUAUAGUGACAGGGGCUAAGCUGCUAAAUAUUGUCAGCAUGUAUGCAGUGAUUUUCUUUGGAAAUUCAAAACAACCUGUACGUACUGGCUCUCAGAAGGGCAUGUUUUAGCGCAAUAAUGAACAAAAAAAGGAAGAUCUUAAAAAUAAGGUAUAGAUUUAUAUAAAUUUCAUGAAUACUGUUCAUUUAUCAUACAUUAGGAUCCAGAAUAUGAUUGAAUUAAAUGUGCUGCUUUUGUCCAUAUCAAAAAGGGAUUUGGAAUUAAUGUAAUAUAUAAAAAUAUAGUAAAUGAUAGGAAAAACAUUUCAGCUUAAGGAGGGGAAAACUUUAAUAUUUUUGAAGUGGAAACCACCUGUAUUUGGCUGUUAAUCAGUUACCGGUAAUCAGAGGGGAGAAAAAGCACUGGUAUGAGCUUGAUAUUUUCAAUUGUUAAUUCCAGAUAGGCAAUAGCCCGUUUGAAUCCUCUCUUUUAUGUAGAUAUGUAACAUUUGUUUUUGUUUUUUAAGGUUUAACAUUCUAAUAAAAGUGUGUAUUUAUCUAUUGAAUUGUACUUUUUGUUUUUUAUGUAUGUGUUUACACUAACCUUUCAUUUAAAGAAUGAAUGCUGACUUCAAAA